GCUCAGAACGAACGCUGGCGGCGUGGUUGAUACAUGCAAGUCGAACGGGAACGUACCCUUCGGGGUACUAGUACAGUGGCGGACGGGUGAGUAACACGUGGUCAACGUACCUCCGGGACCGGGAUAGCCAUCCGAAAGGGUGGGUAAUACCGGAUAAGACCACGACGUCGCAUGGCGUCGGGGUCAAAGUUUUUCGCCCGGAGAGCGGACCGCGGCCUAUCAGCUUGUUGGUGAGGUAACGGCUCACCAAGGCGACGACGGGUAGCCGACCUGAGAGGGUGGCCGGCCACACUGGGACUGAGACACGGCCCAGACUCCUACGGGAGGCAGCAGUGCUGAAUCAUUCACAAUGGGCGAAAGCCUGAUGAUGCGACGCCGCGUGCGGGAUGAAGGCCUUCUGGGUUGUAAACCGCUGUCAGGACUUAGGAAGAUCUGACCAAGUCCAAAGGAAGCACCGGCUAAAUUCGUGCCAGCAGCCGCGGUAAUACGAAUGGUGCAAGCGUUGUUCGGAAUCACUGGGCAUAAAGGGUGCGUAGGCGGCCGGGUAAGUCGGUUGUGAAAUCCCUCGGNUCAACCGGGGAAUUGCUGCCGAUACUGUCUGGCUUGAGGCUGUGAGGGAUGAGCGGAAUUCCAGGUGUAGCGGUGAAAUGCGUAGAUAUCUGG
rnacentral:rRNA from 1 species